UCGAAAUAUCUAAGGCUGUAAUGAGGCAAAAACAAGUCUUCUCUACCGGAUGAUAUGGCAUACAGAGCAUUUACAUACUCACAUCUGAAAAACUAGGCAACGUGUAAUGAAUUCUAUACACAGCAUGCACACACAGCACAAGCACGGCUAAUCCUGACUGCCAUCUUAGGCUCGCAGAAGCAAGAUACGCAAUGCAUGCAGCACACGAGCACUAGGGAAGGAGGAGGCAAGGGACAGCUCACCUUAAAUGCAGUAUCUGAUUAAUGUUGUAAGUGACAUUGAAUAUCAGCCUCAGAGUCUUGGUUCAACUGGGUAGGAGGGAACAAAGAAAAAUGUCAUCAACUGGUGAUGCAAGAUGAGCCCAAUCACUAAACACUGCUUAGCAAACUCCAAAUUCUGCAACCAGACAGUAGAAGGCAUUUCAUACACUUGAGCAGAGCUGCUGCACAAUGAAUGUGUCCUCCUGCUUCUGUGAUUCAGUCCUUUUGCUAAGGAAGAAAAUAAGCUGAAGUGAGCACUGUCAUAUCUUCUUCUUGAAGAAAGCUUUCAAUACACCGCCGCCAGUCCUCCUCCCCCGCACAGCUCUAUCAUACUGAUUGAUUGAUUGAUAGUAGUAACUGGGAAUUGAACUCAGGAUCUUGCACAUGUGAGCAAAUAUUCUCAGACUCAACUCAGGAACAAAUUUAUUUGCUGUCUCUAAAUUAUUUUGUGACUGAGAAGAGCUAUAACCCUGCACCUCUUCUCAGCAUGAGCAGCUUAACAAGCUUCUGUGCAUCUUCAUUUCCUUUGGACUAAACAGAAAAGCACGGUAAGUUUUUGCCAUGUUGAAUUAUCUACUCUUGCUCCCUGGCAGAUCUUUGUGGGGUUACCCAUGGUGCUGGAGCUUUGCCUCACGCAGUGGGAUGGUUCAUUAGGGCCUACUCUCAACUCCCACCACCAGUCAUGGCAGUUCUUUCUCUACUUCUAUCACCAUCAAUAGUAUCUUCAGCUUUGAGUCAUGAAGGCACGUCCUAAAAAGGGGGGAAUUUGAUUUGUGAGUUAAGGGAUGACUCUGGGGGCCCAUCACUGAUUUACUAAGGGGAGUCACAGUGGAUUGGCAAGUGCAUCACAGUGCUUUGUGUAAACCUGUCCUUCCUGGAAUGAGGGAAGGGGCGAUGGAAAUAAGAGUGGUCUGAUAACACUACUACUGCCUCCCAAAUGUGCUCAACCUUUUCCUGGGUCCUUGACAGCAGAGUGUGUUGCAUAGAGUUAAAGGAUGGGAUGAUGCUUCAGAGAAUGCUAUCUAUGUCCUUUCUUGGGAAGAAUAAAACAGGCUUCAAAGACAGUAAGGGAUAUACUCAAAGACUUCAGUAAUCAGGGUAGAAGCUAUAUUCUUAAAUUUUUGGUAUUCUCUUUAAAAUUCCAUACACUGGCUCAGUUUUUAAAAAAAAUUCUGAACUUUCACUUAGGCACUUAAUUAAUGAUUAUAGAUUGAAUGAAUGUGAAUACAUACCAGCCUACUGGGUUACAAUGUGUUUCCUGUUUUUUUUUUUAUCGGUACCAGGGAUCAAACUUAUGACCACCUGCUUGCAAGGCAGGUGCUUAUACCACUGAGCUAAAUCCCCAGCCCCGUGUUUCCUAAUUCUGCUAAGAAUAAAAUACUCUAGUACACGUAUUUUUUUUUAAAAGAGCUCUACUAAAAAUAAUUUUAAGUAAAAUAGUAAAUAUUGGUCCAAAACCACCUGGGACCAGUGUAACUUAAGAAGUUUCAGAGAACCAGGUUUGCUUACUAUAUUAAGUCUGUCAGACUAAGUUUAGCUAGCCAACAUUGCCUGUAUUCUGUUUGGUUUGCAAAGAAACAUCUCAUGAGUUAGCAUGAACAGCUAAAAAUAAGUUGCAAGUUUCAUUUUCCACUGUUCAGAAUGGUUUUGAAACCAAAAGGUGCAAAACUAAGAGAUUCACCAACACCUAUGAAAACUCAACAAUUUAGCUUCUCAUCUUUCUAACACACUGUACUGAUGGGCCAGCUCACUUCUGGGCCCUGGAAAUGAUCUCUGUCCCUCUCACCACUGUCUCUUAAAAUGAGUUUCCCAAAUAAGGCUUGGCAGGAAAUUGGGGGCUGAGGCCGGUUCUGGGUGGGAAAGUAGUGUGUGACUGUAUUGUCACAUCCGGACAGGAUGCCACAGAACUUCAGCCCCUCUCCUAGGUGAUGCUGGGGACCCCUUUGCAGCAAGUGGAGUAAUAUUUUCAUUAAGACAGGGCUCUGGAGACGUUGAGUGCUAUGAGUCUCCAUUGACCAAAAUGCCUAUGGCCUUGUACAAUUUCAUUCCGCAACCUAGGCAGUUCACAAUAAACAUCAAAACCAAAUUUCCAGGGCUGUGUCUGGUAAGAAGGUAUUUGACAGAGGUGCAAAUGCCUCAAAGGAAAGGCAGCCAUUUCCGCAGCAUUCAGUUAUGGCUCAUGGCCCAGAGACAGCAAUGCUGUUAAAAGAAAGCUUUCCAAUGAAUGAGAUUGAAAGGGGGCAAAGAAGGGUUAAUCUCCCUCCAUUAAAGGUGGGGCCAUUUGGCAAAGGUGAAGAGAAUAAUCUGUAUGAAGAGCAGAGCAGACAAAGAGCCAUUCUGGAAACGAAAUUACCGUGCAGGGGUAAGAAGGAUGAUUUGUUCUCCAUUUUCACCGUGAGACCAUUUCUUAGAUCUCAGGGUCUUUACCUUGCUUUGAAGUUACAGUUGCUGGGAGGAGAAAGGGGGCAUGUUCACACUCAGUGCUACAGUGCCCGAGCUGUGAUUCACUUGGAAUGAGCUGUCUUGGAACAGCGGAGGGUGAGGCAAAGUCACCAGGAUGCUGUAGAAGCCUAACCACAAAUUAGAAGGCAGCAAAGUAAACAGUAGGAGCUGCUUCCCUGGGGGUGGGGAACACUCACCAUUUUUUAAAUACUUAUUUUUAAAAUGCUUUGAAAUGUUUGAAAUGUUUGCUUUUAAUAGUAUUUUUAUAAAAUAGAUUUAUAAGAAGUAGCAAAAAUAGUAUAAUCAGUAAAGUAUAUAAUGUAUCCACUUUUUCUCAAUGAUGUCAUACAAACUUAGUUCACUGCUUAAACCAAGUAGUGGACAGUAAUACAAUUAUGAGCUUUGGUACUGGUCUUCUCUGAUUUCAGCAGUUUUUAUAGGCACUCUGUGUGUUUCUCUACAGUCUACAAUAUGUUCUUACACCUACAAGUUGGAGAUGCAUGAGCACAGUCAGAAUACAAAACCAUGACAUAGGACAAAUUCUUGUGUCCACCCCCCCCCUUUUUUUUGCAGUACCAGGAAUCGAACUUGACCUCGCACUUGCCAGGCAGGCGCUCACACCACUGAGCUAAAUCCCUGGCCCUUGUGCCACCCCUUUAAGGUUACCCCUUUCCACAGACCUUGGAAGUUGCCAACCUGUUCUCUAUCACUGUAUUUUGGUCACUUUGAAAAUAUCCUAUACAGCAUGAACUCUUUGACCUUUUCAUUCACCCAGUAUAAUGCCAUUGUGAGUUCUUCCAGUUAGUAUUCCAGGUAUGGAUAUAACCAAAGCUUUUUAUCCAUUCACCUACUGAAGGACCUCUGGCUAGGUUUCCAGUUUUUAGAUGUUUCAAACAAAGCUGCUAUGAGCAUUCAUGUGCAGGCUAUUAUGUGAACAUAAAUUUGCAUAAAUACCCAUGAGUGAGGUUGCUGGACGGUGUGGUAAGAACAAGUUUGACUUUAUAAGAAACUGUCACACUGUUUAAAAGAGUGGCUGUAGCAUUUUACAUUCCCAUGAGUAAUACAAGAGAGACACAGGUUAUUUUUUUAACAUCUUAAUCUGCAUUCAGUAGCAGUCUUAUUUUUAAUUUUAUCCAAUCUAACACACGUGUAGUGGUCUCCUUUUGAUGGCUCACAGUUAAGAUGGCAGUAAAGUGUGGGAUUUGCAGGUCCUGAGUAGGGUGGCCCAGAUAUAUGUCACUGUUUCAUCUUCUCUGAUAGUUGUCUAGACAGUGGUCUAGUGGUCUGGCAUUCAGAGAAUAGGAAAUGGAGUGGUCUCUCUGGAUGUGGGGUGAAUCUGCAGGUUUGCCCAGUUAGUUAGUUGUUCCUGACUGUAGCAGUGGGUGGUCAUCACCAUCCUGGUACACUGCGCCUCUGAGGCAAUGCCUGUUGGCCAAACAGGCAGACUUGAUAUGUGGCAUAUACUUCCACAGGGUAGGGAGAUGAUAUGAAACCACAGAGAGGGACAGAAUUUGCCUGGGCCUGGGCUCUCCUGCUGCUUUGGUAAGACAAUAUAUAAAGACUUUUACUCCAAUGGUAGUCAUUAGUUUAGUGUGAGAAGAGGUGGCACAUGGAGUCAACAGAGACAGAUAAGGGUGGCACUAUCAGUGGCAUUUACCAAAUCAUAGGACCACCAAACACAUUUUGCCCUUGAACUUCCUGCUCUGUGCCCACCCAAGAUUUUCCAGCAGGAUAUAAACACCUUGGCUGGAUGUCACGGAACUCAUUUCUAUCUCCUGUUAGAUCUAGAGGCACGGCUGUUAACCACCGUAUAGAUUUCCUGGCUCAGAGAUGCAGGUCUCAUGAACAUUCAGAGCUUCAAAGGUGCCUCAGCCAUGGAAGUUGAGCAGGAUGACAGGGACAUGAGCCUUGCAUAAGGCAAACAUAGAUCACUCUAAUUGUCCCAGCCAUUCUUGGAAAGUUACUCUCAUCAGUUGUAACUCUGAUUCAAUGGACAUUAUAGAGGAGGCCAGAAUCUAUGUUCAUCAUGACCCUGAGUCCACAAGUUUGGGCCAUGAGACUAAGCAUCAGGAUAGUAGUCAUCCUGUGUGGGAGCAGUUAUGAGAUUAUGCAGGCGUGCACAGAGGCAAGUCCCCUGAUGUCUAAGGAGGAGAACCGGGAUAGUUGAGAUACUUCCUGGGUUCUGGCUCUAGUGCUUCACCAACUAUCACCACAGAAGACUGACAUGGACUUGGGCAGCAGAAAACUUCCAGAACUGGGAUGUAAAAUGGGCACCAUAGGAGAGCCCAGCAUUCCAAGGAGGUGAACCUUGAAAGUCAAACGACUCAAUGGUGGCCUUCCAACAGCUGACCAGUGAGUGAGAGGAAGCACAAGCAGUCAAAUAACAUGAGGUGAUGGUAGGUGUGGCCUGAUGGCUUCGGCUGUGUUGUACAGGUAGGAGGGAGAAAUAAACUUCCUCUCAAAAGGAGAGAAUUUUUAAGAUUUUGUUGUUGGCUCACUAGCUUUUCUGCUAUGAUUAUUUUCCAUUAUUUUCUAAAUAUCCAUUUUCAGAUCCUGCUGUCUGACCCUUUGCUCUUGUUCUUACUUCUUCCCAGUCGGAAGGCAGCCCAGCUGCAGGUCUUUUCAGAUUUAAAAGGGUCAGCUGCUGGUAUGGUAGUGCAUACCUAUAAUCUCAGCACUAAGGGAGGAUGAUGCAGGAGGAUCACCAGAUUGAGUCCCACCUGAACAACUUAAUGAGCCUUUACCUCAAAAAAAAAAAAAAAAAGAAACAAACAAACAAAAGAAAAAAAGUCGGUAUGAAAGCACUGGAUUCACUCCUCAGUCACACACACACACACACACACUCGUGAAGCCAUUAUAGCACCAUUGUAGCUUUUACUUGGUCUUAUUUUUAACUCUACCUGCCUUCAUAUGUGAGAUUCUCUCACGUAUUUCAGUCUGGCUUUGCCCUGAUCCCACUCUGCUGUUGUGUUCUGCCUGUGGCCCCAAGUCCUGCUCGGUUCUUGUGGAUGAAUCGUGUGGAUGCUCUCUGCAUAGCUGCCUUGCCCUGCUGCACUGAGCUUCAGUGCCAUGUUCUGGCACACAGUGAUCUGGCCACACUGGGUGAUCCCUGUGGGCACCUGGCCCCUUGUGGAAUCUGUGCUGCACACACGUGUUCUAAGACAUGGCCCUGCCAAUCGGAAGGCAGAUACCACUUCCCUGGUUACUUCAGGAGUUUGUCUUCUCAUCGAUUCCUUUUGUUAGCUAACCAGAGAUUGGGUGUCUCUGGGCUUUUGCCUAGUUCAGCCUCUGCAACUAAAUAUCUGGGUGACCACCAGCAAGUAAAUGAACCAUGCUGGCUGGCUUCAGCAACCCUGUAUUUAUAACAAAGUCUCCUGACUUGCUAGCUAGCAAGAUUUUUUGUUUGUUUAUUUUUUUCUGUACUAUGCUAAAGAAAAAUCUAAAAUUCAGAAGCCAAACAGGGGCUUUAAAUUCUGGUUUAGAUAUAUGCUAUGCUAUAUAGCCAUAGUUUGUCCAUUAAAUAGGCUUUUGUGUGAAACACUUGCUGAGGUGAUGGAACCUUUAAGAGGUGGUGCCUAGUGGAAGGCAAUUAGGUCACAGGGCCUGCCCUCAGAAGGGAUUCAGACAGACUGUGUGGGAUAGGAUUAGUUCCUGUGGGAAUGGUUGUUAUAGGAGAGCCUGGUUCCUCCCCUGAAUCCCUGUUUUGUGUGAACUGCAUUUUAUUCUUGCACCUAUGUGCUCUUGUUGCUGUGAUGCAGAUUAUCCUGAGACCCUCACAAGAGUCAUGUAGAUGUUGGCAUGCUUUUGAAAAACUUCCAGCACUGUGGGCUAAUCAAUCUUUUUUUCUGUAUCAAGUUCUCUGCUUCAGGUAUUUUCUUAUUGCAACAACAAUAGCAAAAACAGGUUAAGACAAUAGACAAGCUCAGGGGUUUCUUUUUUCUAAGUAGUGUUUGCCUUAGGAACUAUAAAAACAGGUAAUGACCAUGUGCUCCAAUUUCUAAAAUUUUCCCUUAGAUGUUCACAAAGAUUCAUCUACAAGAAGAUUUACAUAUCUAUUAUAGUGGGCCACUAAAGGCAAUAAAAAUAUAUAUCAAAGAAAGAGUAGAUAGACUAAGUUAUCCAUGCAAUAGAAACAUAACCAUUAAAAAUUACAUUUUUGACCAGGUAUGGUGGAGCAUGCUUAUAAUUCUAGUACUCAGGAAGCUGAGGCAGGAGGAUUACCUAAAAUUUGAGGCCAGGCUGGGUUACAAAGUCAUUUCAAGGCCAGUCUGAAUUCCAUACUGAAACACUGUCUCAGAAAGAUAAAUAAAUAAAUAAAUAAAAUAAAAUUAUGUUUUCAAAGUGUAUUUAGUGAGUAGAAAAAUGUUUAGAGUAUAAUGUUGGCUGGACAUGUAAUUCUAGCACCCAGGAGGCCAAGGCAGGGGCACUGCCAUGAAUUCAAGGCCAGCCUGGGCUAUAUAAGAGAGUUCAAAGCCAGCCUGCACUACAUAGAGAGACUCUGUCUCAAAAAACAAAUGAACAAACAAUCCCCCAAAAACAUAAUGUUGGAGGAUGGCAGACAACCAUGAAAAUAUCAUUUCAGUUUUUGAAAGGAGAAAAAUCCAGGUCUGGUGGUGCAUGCCUAUAAUUACAGCACUCUGAGACACAAAGACAGGAGGAUCACAAGUUCAAGCCCAGUGUAAGCAACUUGGUGAGAUCCUGACUCAAAAUAAAAACUAAAAAAUGAUGAGAGAUAUAGCUAAGCAUGGGUUUAAUCCCUGUGCCACAAAAAGAAAGAAAAAAGAAAGGAAGAAAGGAAGAAAACAAGAAAGAAAGAAAGAAAGAAAGAAAGAAAGAAAGAAAGAAAGAAAGAAAAGGAGGAGAGAGGGAGAAAGGAAGGCAAAGGAAACGAAUACCUAGGGAAACCUGCAAAAAAUACUUCACCAAAAUGCUAAUAUUGAAUUAUGUCUCGGUUGAUGGCUUUCUGGUGAUUCUAAUUUUCCUUUUAAAUUUUAAACUUUUUAACGUUUUUUAUAGUAAUUACCUAUGACUAUUUUUAAAUGAUAAUUUUAAGAAAAGGAGAGAAAGAAAGAUCGUUUCACAUACAAUGAAAGCAAGAAGGAAGAGAUGUCCCUUAAAAAAUCCAGCCCAGUAUACUUAACAAGUUGUUCUUUCUUUUCGAGCACUUUCUUUCCCUUUCAUUAUUACAAUAUCUAUUAUACAUUUUGGAUCUUAUUACUUUCAGUUUUUUGCUAUUAUUAUUAUUUUUUACACUAGAGAGACAAUAUGUUUAAGUGUACAACGCAAAUAACCAUACUACUAAAUUUUUGUUAGUACAUGAAACAGAAUAGUUUGUGCUGUCAUUGUUUGAUUGUCCAUUUUAUGCUUUGAUUUUGUAACUUGAACAACUUCUAAGAUAACAGUAUGUAAUUUAUCAACAGUGAUGAUUUCCUAAUGUUAUUUUUUGAAAUUCUGUAUCAUUUCUACCCUUUUUUCUGUUUUCCUUUUUUUUUUAAUUAAAAAAAAUGGGGAAAAAAAUCCAACCCAGGCAGGAGGAUCACAAUGAAUUUGAAGCUAGCCUGGGAUACAUAGUGAGUCCGAGGUCAGUCUGAACUACAUAGUAAGAUCCUGUCUUCAAAAACCAAACCAAGCCAAACCAAAACAUCCCAGCCCAGAAAUAGCCCAGCUGCCAGCAGAUGACACAGGUAAUAGACAGAUUGAUUCCUAACCCCAGCAUAAAUCCUAAGUUACUUCUUUUACAUAUAUAUAGCUGUAGUUUCUUUUACUUCUUUUACAUCCAUAUAGCUGAUGCCAAGGAAUUUAGGUCAAUGAGAAAGGCACUUUCUCUGGAAGCUACCUCCCUGUAGCUUAGGAUGAUGGGCUGUAGGUUUUGGGAUAUGGAUGGGCAUUCUCCUAUCACACAAAGAAGACUAGAUUCACAGAUGAUGGCUUUCAAACAAAGAUGAGGGAUUCUCUCUGGCGUGGGAGACACAACCAAGGUCAACACCUCCAUCGAGUGUUUCCCAUAUGGUGUUAUCUCAAGGUCCUGGGAGCCCCCUCAAAUUCCUUGAAUCCUCUUUUGGCAGAAAGAUGACUCAUCCAUUCUCCCACAAAGAUUUCAGUGAAUCCCAGGUGGAAGAUCUCUCUGAAUGAGAUUAGAAGCUUCCCACUUAGGCUGAUGGUCUAGAGUCAAAGCUUUCUGAAUGGCAUCAAACCUUUGUACCACAUGCUUUGGGAGGUUAGGAGUGGUGCUAGGGAUCCCAGAUGAAAAGUCAAUUUAGAAAAACAAAAAGUCUUUUUUUCCAAAACACUGAUACUUCAUAACAGUAUUGACCAUAAUUAUUGUAAUUAUUUUCUUCAACACAUUCUCAGAGAGUUUUCUAAGUGGCCCAGACCAUUUUGCAUGUAGGACCUUACUUAUUCUGACAGAAUCUUGGCAUUCUAUUCUUUAAAAACUUCAUUUUGGGGAUAGGAAGAAGCUUUAAAGUUCUGACGAAAACCAGAGUCUUCUUGAAUUAAAAACAAAACCCUAAAGUUUUCAGUGUGGUGUUUUCCAAGUUGGUUCUUGACAAGAAAUUAGGGGAUUUCAGUGUGAGAAAUUACAAAGCCUUAUUACUAUGAAUUCUUAGCUUUGGUGACUAUGACGUGGGUUUAUUGCAAAAUCUUCCGAAGGGAGUAACAGAACAUUUAUAACCCUGACCCAAGGGAAGGGUACUAGCUAGCACUUCUGUGCCCUGACAACUAGAAAACCUCUGGGACUUAAGUGUGCUGCUCUGUGAGGCUGCUGUGUUCAUCCGUGUCUGCUGUGUGUGAGUCUCGCCACUAAGCUCUUCAGAUGACUCAAACUCUGCAAAGACUACAGUUUCCCAAAUUUGAAUUAUAUAACUCAUGAUGCAGUUAAAACUGAAAAGAACCAAUGUAAUAGAAAGUGAAGCAAGCACUAGAAACUCCCCAUGAGACCUAUUUUGAUGCAUUUUUUUUUAAAAGUCAAAAGUAUUUAUAAUUUGAGUAUUUGUACAUGAUCCCAUUUUUCUGGUGUUGUCUGUAAGAACUAACACUGAUGAAUGGUCGUGAGGAUCUGUGACUUUCUUUGAAACAUUAAGUGUUGAUCAUAGUAAAAUUCUGGUUAUUCACUUUGGUAAUCACACAUGCCUCCUUGCCAUACUAUGCAGAUAGAAAUUAGAAAUGAAGAGGUCAACAACACCCACCCCACUCCUAACACCAUUCACAUGUUAGUUUCUGAGUCAUACCAGAUGGGCAGUGAAAUUAAGAAGUGGAGAGAGCCAGUUUCCCAAACGAGCAGACCCUGACAUCUUUCCUCUUUGACUGGCUUUCUGGGCAAACGCUGUUAGCUUAUGACUUCCAGCAAUAGGUCAACCCCAUUUGGCUCCAGCUUUUGAAACCUGGUACUUGUUCUCAUCUUCCUCCUUUGGCUACUUCCUUUUGGCAGGCACUGUUUCCCCACGCAGCCUGGUUUUAUCUUUGGCCUAACCCACCAGCCCAUGCAGCUUCCAGCUCAAUAAAUCAGGAAAAUGGAUUUUCAGAGGCAGAAGUAUUUUUGCAAAAUAUCAACUUGUGGUGGGAGCUCACUCUUCUUCAGUUCAUUCUUGCUGUGGGACUUGAGUGGAGGUUAGGCAGAAUUAGUAGGAGAAAAGGCCCUGUAUCAGGCUGUCAGCAGAGGUCAGAGAGGCUAUCAAACUGGCCAGUAACUGUUCCCACACAAUGGACAAUGCAUUCUCUUCAGAAUGUGGAUGCAAAUGCCAGAAAUGUAAAGUUCAGUGGCAACAUUUAAUCAGAAACUAGAGUGUUUAGCCAGCUAUCAACAACAAAGCUAGGGAGCUAGGUACCAGGCUGCUCAGAUAGACUCCAGACUGUUUUUAUAGAGGCCUUUGAAUUAGGGGCAUCACAAGGCCUCCACUACAGUUUCUGGAAUUUACCAGUGAGGGGAGGACUGUACCAAGAUAAACAAUGUGUAAAAGCCUACACAAAAUAUAAAAUGAGUUAAGAGUUCUCUAAAUAGGAGUUUUACAUUUGUCUCUCAUUAUUUCAGUGGAUAUUUGAAAUUUUCCUAAAAAGAAAAUGAAUUAUAUAUGAAAUCCUUUGCAGUAGCAUUACUAUCUCUAGCUUGAGCUUUUUAAAGUUUUUGUUUUUGUUUUGUUUUUGUUUUCCCUUGAGACAAGGCCUUGCUAUGUAGUUCAGGCUGGCCUUGAACUCUUGGCCAUCCUUUUGCCUCAGUCUCCUGAGUGCUAUGCUCAUAGGCAUGUGCCAUUAUGCCUGGCUUUAAAGUCUACUUUUAAGUAUUUCUUGGACAACUUGGUUUGAAGGUCUCUCCUUGGUCUAGGAUUUUCCCCUUGGCAAUUAAGUGUUCGAAGACCUGGAGCAAAGAUGGAAGGAUAAUCUCCUAAAGCCCGGAGGAACAGAGAGGUCCAUGAGCUUAGGAAAUCAUGAACUUUCUUAUAGAUUACUGCAGCUCAUAGUUGGAGGAACAGAAUUCCACUAAGCAAUCCCAACUAGUAUGUUUAGAUACAGAACAGAACAAGAAGAUUGGAGUGAAAAAUAAACGUAAGAAUGCCCUUCCGGUUUCACUGGCCACUUGCAGCAUGGUGGUACUAGAAGUCUUAGGGUGAGGAUGGCCACAUGAGUUUUGAGAAGUCUUCUUCACUGUUUCUUGCCCACAUGGCCAGAUGUUAGCCUAAGAGCAUCAGUUAGGGAGCAUCUGAUAAUUUUCCAUUUCUCCCACUGUUUCAUUCUGCAACCUUAUUCUCACAUCUCCAAGUUUAUUUAUAUGCUGUGACAGAGAAAAUUACCUCUUCAGUGGAAGCUCACCACUGUAAUCACUGGAAGUGCUGCCCCAUCAGAGACCACAUUCUCAAGACACUUCUAUGAUGCAAUGAAUGGCACAAGUAGGAAUGAAAAUAAGCCCGAUGUUCAGCGAUGAGAUAAAGAAGGCGCAUACACUAGAACCUGGCCCGCUAGGGCAAAAGCGUUCUAGAUGUUUCCUUAACAGAGCUGUAUCUCUCACGAGAUUAAAAGUGGAACCACCCUUUGACAGCACGGGUUUCAGCCUGAGAAUCGCAGCGCCGAGUGCGGGUGUGCUUUGGCCUGGUUCGGUGGAGAGGAGGGCGCUCAGUUCCCCUGCAGGCUGCACCGCCGGGUCUCCCACGCGCUCCCACCCCCACUCCCCGCUCGCUCGGCCCGCCUGCCAGGCCUCAGCUGGCAAGAUGGCGCCCACGGCGAAGGCGCUGAGCGAGGGGCCCGAGGGUGGCCUUCACUUACUCGGAUGAGCAGCUUCUCCGAAGCCCAGACGCUGCCACCCGGCUGGCCUCGGGAGUCACAGCCGCCUUCUUGCUCUGCGUUCUUCACUCUUCGUCGAGAUCAGCUCCACAUAUCUUUCUGAUGAUCUCACUCAUUCUGACUUCUACACUGCAAAGUUGAUCUAUAAGCAGAACCUGCCACGAGGCUUUAAAAGAGACAAAAAAAAAAAAAAAAAAAAAAAAAAGAAGAAAAGGAAAGAAAGGUGUGCUGUGAGGAGGUGGAAACACAGGAGAAAGGCUGUGGCCUCCUUAUUUUGAGAUUCGCUGCAGCUGCGAGUGCCACUCCCCAGCCGGUUUUUCCUGGCUGCAGAGGGAGGCCAGUGGCCGGGCGUGGGUGACGUCAGGGCCAGGCCUGAGUCAUCGCCAGCGGCCGGGCUGCCCUGCCACUCCGAAGGGGACAAAAGGAACCUUUGAUGUCCAGAGGCCCUCCUCUCGGCACACUCGCUGCACUGAACAGCAGGCCAGGAGAACAUUCCUGUCGCCUCCCCACCCCCGCCUCCCUUCCUACUUCCGGAACAGUCCAGACAGACUGAACGAGGCCUCCCCGAAGGACAUCACCCUCCUGCAGGGCACAGGCAUGGCCGCUCUCUGUCAAACAGAGCAGCAGGGAGAGAAGAGGAGGUUUUUCCCUGGGGACCUCUCACUUCCCCUCUGUUUCCCACCGUGUCACUGUGGUAUUCACCUUACCCAGGGAGCCACGGGGUAGCUAAAGAGAUAAGGAAGGUGAACAGCACUCUUAUUACUAUCCCUGGCCAGUACCCAGGGCUCUGUGUCUACUCUCCUCCAUCUUGUGCCAGGGCCUCAGGCCCCAGCUCCCUGUUCUCCGGGAGCCAGUGUGAAUUAGCUCUUCCCGGAUUUAGGAGGUUGCCACUCUUUAAGAGUGAUAUUAAUAUCCCAGUGCCUGGCAUGAGGCUCUGUAUACACAUGAUGAAUGAAUGAUAAUUUUAAAACAAACUAGCAGAGGGCAUAUGUUGCCUUACAUGAAUGUUUAAACCUAUAUGUGGGGGCUGGGGAUUUAGCUCAGCGGCAUAAGCGCCUGCCUUACAAGCAGGCAGUCGUGAGUUCGAUCCCUGGUACUGAUAAAAACGAAAAAGACAAAAAAUAAAUAAAUAAAAUAAACCUA